CUAUCAGAACUGUGGGGACACAGAGACAAAGGACGAGCCGGGAAUGGAAAAACCGGUGCAAGCGAGGUAGCUUCAUGGGAGGGAAAACCCCCAUGUAUAAGGCGAAUGCGUGAAGCGUAGCGAACUUAAAAGUAGCGAAGCGUGUGGAGUCACUGUCAGGAAAAGCCGCUAUUGCGUAUCAUGAACCCGUACCGUAAACCGACACAGGUGGAUGAGGAGAGAAUCCUAAGGCCGACGGAAGAAGCAUUGUUAAGGAAUUCGGCAAAAUGACCCCGUAACUUCGGGAGAAGGGGUGCCUACGAAUGUAGGCCGCAGAGAAUUGGCCCAAGCAACUGUUUAGCAAAAACACAGGUUUAUGCGAAACCGAAAGGUGAAGUAUAUGAGCUGACGCCUGCCCGGUGCUGGAAGGUUAAGGGGAGAGCUUAGAGGCAACUCGAAGGUUCGAACUUAAGCCCCAGUAAACGGCGGCCGUAACAAUAACGGUCCUAAGGUAGCGAAAUUCCUUGUCGGGUAAGUUCCGACCCGCACGAAAGGCGUAAUGAUUUGGGCACUGUCUCGACAAUGCAUCCGGUGAAAUUGAAAUACCAGUGAAGAUGCUGGUUACCCGCGCCAGGACGGAAAGACCCCAUGGAGCUUUACUCCAGUUUGAUGCUGGGAUUCGGUACUGCAUGUACAGGAUAGGCGGGAGACUAGGAAGAUAUAACGCCAGUUGUAUCAGAGUCGCUGUUGGGAUACCGCCCUUGUAGUACUGGGUUUCUAACCUGCCACCGUGAACCGGUGGAGGGACAACGUCAGGCGGGGAGUUUGACUGGGGCGGUCGCCUCCGAAAGGGUAUCGGAGGCGCUCAAAGGUUCCCUCAGAAUGGUUGGAAACCAUUCGAAGAGUGCAAAGGCAGAAGGGAGCUUGACUGCGAGGUCGACGGACCGAGCAGGUACGAAAGUAGGACUUAGUGAUCCGGUGGUAGAAAGUGGGAUUGCCAUCGCUCAACGGAUAAAAGCUACCCUGGGGAUAACAGGCUAAUCACUCCCAAGAGUUCACAUCGACGGAGUGGUUUGGCACCUCGAUGUCGGCUCAUCGCAUCCUGGGGCUGUAGCAGGUCCCAAGGGUUGGGCUGUUCGCCCAUUAAAGCGGUACGCGAGCUGGGUUCAGAACGUCGUGAGACAGUUCGGUCCCUAUCCGGCGCGGGCGUAGGAUAUCUGAAAGGAGCUGGCCUUAGUACGAGAGGACCGGGCUGGACGGACCGCUGGUGUAUCUGUUGUCAUACCAAUGGCAUAGCAGGGUAGCCAAGUCUGGAAGGGAUAAACGCUGAAGGCAUCUAAGCGUGAAGCCCCCCUUAAGAUAAGAUAUCCCUGGAGUUAAUCCAGUAAGACCCCUUGAAGACGACGAGGUAGAUAGGGCAGAGGUGGAAGUGUGGUAACACAUGGAGCUGACUGUCACUAAUAGGUCGAGGGCUUGACC
rnacentral:rRNA from 1 species